UCAUCCAAUCAGGAGACAAAGUCAGGAUCUGACCCUAAUUGCCGCUUUCAACCAGAGGUUUAUUUUUCCUCUCUCCUUCGCAAUGAAAAUAAUAAAAAUAAACCUCUGGAACCAGGGUAUAUAUUGUAGGGUAUAUUUAAUUUACAGACGCAACAAUCAUAUUCAUUAAUCGCUAACAUAGGUAUGAAAACUAAGCUGAAAACGAUUUAACACUUAUGCUGGACGAUUUAAAUACUAGUAAAUACUGGAUUAGAUACAAUGAUUUAAAUACUGGACGAUUUAUAAGUACUAGAAAACAUGAACAGCCGAUUUGUAUCGAUCUGAUAUACAAACUCGAGCCAAAGGCGAGUGUUUGUAUAUCAGCCGAUACAGAUCGGAUGCGAAUGUUUUAACGUGCUUAAAAAAUGACCCAUCUUAUGAGUUCAUUGGCGAAGUAAUUUUAAAAAUAAACAUUGUCUAAGCCGAGAAAAUCAAAGGAAUUCAAAGCUGGGGCAGGUUGUUCAAAAGCCAAUUACUGUAGCUUAACCCUAGGUUUACCUAAAAUAGUAAAAUUCAAAGCAAACUUGCCAACAGCUUCGUUAUAAACUUGGAAAUAUUUCUUCAGAAAUCUUGUCUGGACAAAUGAGAAUUUUCUUUUCUGAAGUUUUAAAACAAAUAGAUGCAUGUGCAGAAAUACAUAAACUAAAAC